CGGAAACGACUCCACGCAUUGAAACCACAAUGAGAGAACUCAUCACCGUCGACAAAAUGUACAUUACGCCAUAUAUAUAUAUAUAUACAUAUUGAGACAAAAAAGAAACACAGUUUGGUAGUUGAAGAAUCUGUCGCGCACAGACGUAGAAGAGGAAGAUCAGCGGCAUCGGAUAAGUUCUGUUUGCCAUGCUGGUAGACAAAAGAAAUAUAUAUCUAAUGAAGACGAUGUGCGGAGCAGUGGAGUUGCAUGCGAAGUCAAACAGACAAAUGUACAAAACCCUAAAUUAAUAUAAUGGAGGUAGAAGCAGCAGGAGAGAAGAGCUCCAAGGCCAUGUGAAGAUGCGAUGCGAUACGAUACGAUGCGAUGCGAACUGACACAGUGCUCUUCCGCGACUAGUCAAACCCUAAUCCGUUUUGAGAUGGAGCUAUUGCCCUCUUCCUCAUCCCCGCUGGCAUCCCCGCUGGCGUUCCUACCUGGCAUUCCUUCCCAGGAAGGGGUUCGAAGCUUCCUACGUAAAUGUGCCUUCACGGUGAUGGGGCAAGGUGUGGUCACGGGGUGGCCUUGGCACGGUCAGCCUUGGUGCGUUGAUGUACUAGGGGCUGGAUUAGUAUUCUGUGAAGCUAACUCUUCACACACACACUAACCUGCAAUGACAGUGGACGUAACUUGUGUGGAUCUGCAUUUUAGGGUUUUGGACUAGUCGACGAGGUUGACAAUUGAGAGUUUGGUUAAUUAUUUGUCGUGAAAAGCAAACGACAUGAACCACUUUGGAAUGGUGUGAGUGGGUUGUGUUUGAUUCUGGUGGGCUGCACAAUGUGUUGUACAGAUGGAACUCAUGUGAAGGAAUUCGAGCUCAGAACAAUUGAAGCAUCUCUAUGCAUUCACUACUAUGGACUUGAGUUUUGUUUAAAUGUGAUGUAAUGGUGUACAAUGAAUGCAUGUUUUAUAUAUAUUUUAAAAUAAGAAUAAAAAGAGAAAGACACACACACACACAAUUUGUAUUUUUAUGCUUAUUUUUGUGAGAUAUCAAAAUAAUUGAAUUUAGAGCUUGU
rnacentral:lncRNA from 1 species